rnacentral:rRNA from 1 species
UACGUAGGGCGCAAGCGUUGUCCGGAAUCAUUGGGCGUAAAGCGCGCGUAGGUGGCUUCGUAAGUCCGUUGUGAAAGUCAAAGGCUCAACCUUUGAACGCCGAUGGAUACUGUGAAGCUAGAGUACGGAAGAGGCGAGUGGAAUUCCUGGUGUAGCGGUGGAAUGCGCAGAUAUCAGGAGGAACACCAAUGGCGAAGGCAGCUCGCUGGGACGUGACUGACGCUGAGACGCGAAAGCGUGGGGAGCAAACAGG